rnacentral:rRNA from 1 species
AUUGAACGCUGGCGGCAGGCUUAACACAUGCAAGUCGAGCGGGGGAAGGUAGCUUGCUACUGGACCUAGCGGCGGACGGGUGAGUAAUGCUUAGGAAUCUGCCUAUUAGUGGGGGACAACAUCUCGAAAGGGAUGCUAAUACCGCAUACGUCCUACGGGAGAAAGCAGGGGAUCUUCGGACCUUGCGCUAAUAGAUGAGCCUAAGUCGGAUUAGCUAGUUGGUGGGGUAAAGGCCUACCAAGGCGACGAUCUGUAGCGGGUCUGAGAGGAUGAUCCGCCACACUGGGACUGAGACACGGCCCAGACUCCUACGGGAGGCAGCAGUGGGGAAUAGUGGACAAUGGGAGGAACCCUGAUCCAGCCAUGCCGCGUGUGUGAAGAAGGCCUUAUGGUUGUAAAGCACUUUAAGCGAGGAGGAGGCUACUUUAGUUAAUACCUAGAGAUAGUGGACGUUACUCGCAGAAUAAGCACCGGCUAACUCUGUGCCAGCCGCCGCAGUAA